CACCACUUGCAGGCAAUGGUGAUUUUCACUUACAUAGAGUACUAAUUUGAUUAAGGAAAAAUCAUGUUCAUUCAUAAUUUUCAUUUUAAAAGUGUAUUCAUUCCUUCUGCAAAUCCAUACUGUCAUGCCUAUUCCCCAAUAUCGUCAACGCGGAUAGUUCGUUAGUCGAAAAUACUGAAUAAUUAAACAAACCAAAUGGCAUCACUGGUGGUUCUUUUUUCCACUCCGCUAAACUGUCAUCUCAAACAAAAACAAAUGGAUCAUACAACUGCCAUGAAUACAUUCGACUCGUUUGCUUCCAUCAAUCGGUAAGUGAGAAAGAUGAUUUCUCCCAUCACCACAGUACGGAUUUCCACUACUAUCACAGCAGCAAACAACAUCCGUUUUCCUGCAGCAGUAACCUCCAACCCCUGUUGGCAAUGCCGGGGGACAGCAUCAACAGCAGCAGCAGCAGAAUUUGACCAUGGUAUGGUAUUGCGAAGAACUUUCCCCAUUAGAGGUUCCGUGCUUCUCGCACAUUCAAAAAUCCUCUUCAGACACGAAAACUCAACGACAAGGAGGUAUUUAUCAACUUGCUCAGCUGAAUUACCACCCGGAGGAACCCAAAUACACUGAUUCCGUUGUAUAGUAGAAUAAAAAUAGGCGAGGUAAGCGAACGUAAUCGCAUGAUAUUUUAAUGUUCACAUUUUUAUCCGGAUCAUACAACUGCUAUGAAUACAUCCUCAAUCAAUCGACGAGUGAGAAAGAUGAUUUCCCUCAUCACCACAUUGCUUAUUUACACUUCUGUCACACCAGCCAACAGCAUCAGCUUUCCCGCAGCAGUAUCCUUUAAGUCCAGGGUGCUAUUCCGGGGAACAGCAUCAACAGCAACAGCAGCAGGACCUGGCCAUCGAUAGUAUUUCGAGCAAUUUUCCCCCUCGGAGAUCUCGUGCUUCACGCACAUUGAACAAUCCUCCUCAGCCACAUAUCUGUGUCAUCAAGGGCAAGGAGGUAUUCAUCAAUGUACUCAGUCGUAUUUGAAUCGUCAAUCCAGACAACCCAGAUGCACCGAUUCCAUUAUAUACCUUAUUUUUAUUAUGCAUGGUUUUUAUUAUUAUUUUUUUCAAUAAAAUGAUUAAAAUCGA